rnacentral:misc_RNA from 1 species
GUGAGUCAUCGAAUCUUUGAACGCACAUUGCGCCCUUUGGCAUUCCUUAGGGCAUGCCUGUUCGAGCGUCAUUUACACCCUCAAGCACUGCUUGGUGUUGGGCGUCUGUCCCCCCUUUUGGGCGCGGACUCGCCUCAAAGUCAUUGGCGGCCGGUAUGUAGGCUUCGAGCGCAGCACAGUCGCGUCUCGUACCUGCGGUACCUGUGACCAAAAAGCACUUUUCCACAGUUUGACCUCGGAUCAGGUAGGGAUACCCGCUGAACUUAAGCAUAUCAAUAAGCGGAGGA